UGCGUAGGCGGUUUGGUAAGUCAGAUGUGAAAUUCCUGGGCUCAACCGAGGAACUGCAUUUGAUACUGCCAGACUAGAGUACUGGAGAGGAGACUGGAAUUUACAGUGUAGCAGUGAAAUGCGUAGAUAUCGUAAGGAAGGCCAGUGGCGAAGGCGAGUCUCUGGACAGUAACUGACGCUGAGGCACGAAGGCUAGGGGAGCAAACG
rnacentral:rRNA from 1 species